rnacentral:lncRNA from 1 species
GCCGUCGUCACGUCACUACCCAGCCACCAUGGCAUCGCUGCCUGCUGCCGCCGAACCGAUUAUCACGUUCUGCUGCACGCCGUCACGGAGGAAGACCAAAACCCAGGGAGAGGGCCGCGCGAGGAGAGGUCGGCGUCGCCGUUCCCUGAAGCCCGUGUCGCCGUCGAGCCCAGAUGAGAGAGGAGAGACCGAGCCUGAACCCCGACGAGCUGGGAAGAACCAGCGCCGCCGCUGUGCCGUCGUCGUGGACACCAUCGCCGCCAUUCGUGCCUCUGAUUCGCGCCGCUGUGACUUCUGUCGCCGUUAGGCUGUCCGCUGACGUCACCGCCGCCAUAACCGCCGUUGCUGGUGACCGCCAGUGGAACCCUGAUCGUCUUGGUAAGCAUUUCGUUCCGGAACCUUUGAAAUCAAUAUUCUGUUAUGUUUGGCUAGAGAUUCUGAGAUCUUGGUUACCGUAGGGUCGAGCUCUGAGGUUUGCAUGUCGAAUUUUUAGGUUGCCGUUGAACCACUGGAGUUUCUAGCUGUUGUCGAAGCUCCCGCCGAGUCGGUUCGGGAUUGCGGCUGCUCAGUUCUGCUGUCACCGUAAGUGUACUCUAUUUCGAACCCUCAUCGUUAGUUUUUCGUUAUGGGUUUUAAGAUUUUCGCGAUAUUAAUGUUUUUAG